rnacentral:rRNA from 1 species
GCACAAGCGGUGGAGCAUGUGGUUUAAUUCGAAGCAACGCGAAGAACCUUACCAGGUCUUGACAUCCCGAUGCUAUUUCUAGAGAUAGAGGCGUGCUCGAAAGAGAGCCGUAACACAGGGUGCUGCAUGGCUGUCGUCGGCUCGUGUCGUGAGGUGUUGGGUUAAGUCCCGCAACGAGCGCAACCCUUGUCAUUAGUUGCUACAUUCAGUUGGGCACUCUAAUGAGACUGCCGGUGACAAGCCGGAGGAAGGUGGGGAUGACGUCAAGUCCUCAUGGCCCUUAUAGGUGGGGCUACACACGUCAUACAAUGGCUGGUACAAAGGGUUGCCAACCCGCGAGGGGGAGCUAAUCCCAUAAAGCCAGUCGUAGUCCGGAUCGUAGUCUGCAACUCGACUACGUGAAGUCGGAAUCGCUAGUAAUCGUGGAUCAGAAUGUCACGGUGAAUACGUUCCCGGGUCUU